rnacentral:rRNA from 1 species
UGUGUAGGCGGUGUUCUAAGUCUGUUGUGAAAUCUCCCGGCUUAACUGGGAGGGUGCGGCGGAGACUGGAAUGCUAGAGUGUGGGAGAGGUAAGCGGAAUUCCUGGUGUAGCGGUGAAAUGCGUAGAUAUCAGGAGGAACACCUGUGGUGUAGACAGCUUACUGGACCACGACUGACGCUGAGACACGAAAGCGUGGGUAGCAAACA